rnacentral:rRNA from 1 species
AUCGGUAUGGGAUGGGGUCGCGUCCUAUCAGCUUGAUGGCGGGGUAACGGCCCACCAUGGCUUCGACGGGUAGCCGGCCUGAGAGGGCGACCGGCCACAUUGGGACUGAGAUACGGCCCAGACUCCUACGGGAGGCAGCAGUGGGGAAUAUUGCACAAUGGGCGCAAGCCUGAUGCAGCGACGCCGCGUGCGGGAUGACGGCCUUCGGGUUGUAAACCGCUUUUGACUGGGAGCAAGCCCUUCGGGGUGAGUGUACCUUUCGAAUAAGCACCGGCUAACUACGUGCCAGCAGCCGCGGUAAUACGUAGGGUGCAAGCGUUAUCCGGAAUUAUUGGGCGUAAAGGGCUCGUAGGCGGUUCGUCGCGUCCGGUGUGAAAGUCCAUCGCUUAACGGUGGAUCCGCGCCGGGUACGGGCG